rnacentral:tRNA from 1 species
GCUCCCAUCGUCUAACGGUUAGGACACCAGGUUUUCAUCCUGGCGACCGGGGUUCGACUCCCCGUGGGAGUACCA